GUAUUUUGUUAUAUGACAAGCAUCACUUCCGGUGAAAUGGCAGACUGUGAUUGGCUGAGAAGCUCUUUCAGCGGCCAUUAUUUUCCCGUAAUGAACGUACGCAUUUUAAAACAAGACAGCAAAACUAAUUGAAAAUUUGAAAAUAGUUUAAUUUGUUAUUCAUGAGAUAUCCGCGAAUGGUUUUUAGUGGAAAGAAAUACAUUUGGUAUUUUUUGUUUUCUUCGACCAAAAUGUGUACCACCAGGGCUUUCAG